GAUGAACGCUAGCGGCAGGCCUAACACAUGCAAGUCGAGGGGCAGCGGGGGUAGCAAUACCUGCCGGCGACCGGCGCACGGGUGCGUAACGCGUAUGCAACCUACCCUCGUCAGGGGAAUAGCCCGCCGAAAGGCGGAUUAAUGCCCCAUGGACCGGAUUCCUGGCAUCGGGGAUCGGGUAAAGGUAACGGACGGGGAUGGGCAUGCGUGCCAUUAGCUGGUUGGGGGGGUAACGGCCCACCAAGGCGACGAUGGCUAGGGGAACUGAGAGGUUGGUCCCCCACACUGGUACUGAGACACGGACCAGACUCCUACGGGAGGCAGCAGUGAGGAAUAUUGGUCAAUGGGCGCAAGCCUGAACCAGCCAUGCCGCGUGCAGGAAGACGGCCCUACGGGUUGUAAACUGCUUUUCUGCGGGAAGAAUGGCCGCCACGCGUGGUGGUUUGACGGUACCGCAGGAAUAAGGAUCGGCUAACUCCGUG
rnacentral:rRNA from 2 species